rnacentral:rRNA from 1 species
CCGUGCAAAGGUAGCGUAAUCACUUGUCCUCUAAAUAGGGACCAGCAUGAAUGGCAACAUGAGAAAGAUCCUGUCUCUUUAGGCCAGUCAGUGAACCUGAUUUACCUGUACAAAAGCAGGUAUGUAAAAACAAGACAAAAAGACCCUGUGAAACUUUAAAUGUCCCUCAACCAAAUGGGCGGGCAUUUUUUGGUUGGGGCAACCAAAGAGAAACAAACCUCAUAAUGAUCGCAAGACCCUACAAGUCUAGUGAAUCAAAAAGAUCCAGUACCACUGAUCAAAGAACGAAGCUACUCCAGGGAUAACAGCGCCACAUUCUUAAAGAGUCCUUAUCAACAAGAAUACCUACGACCUCGAUGUUGGAUCAGGGUACCCCAAUGGCGCAAAAGCUAUUCAAGGUUCGUUUGUUCAACGAUUAAAACCCUACGUGAUCUGAGUUCAGAC